CUAUAGAUAGUGCAAUAUAAGUUGGUUUUAUUUCUGAAAUGAUGGCAGGAAAGGAAUUGUGGGAUGAGUGUGGAAGCUCACCCAAUUGUUGCUGCUGCUGGAAGAUCAACAGAAAGAACCAGCGCUCGACUCGUAAUGGCAAUGUUGGCUAAAUGUAAAUUGAUUUCACUAUUAAUUUUAUUACAAACGGGUGCUUCUUCACUGGUGUUGGUUUUGCUGAAAUUCUUGAAUCAGAACUUCAUCUACGAAGCAAAGGCAUUGAUGCACAGGUGGCUUCUGGUUGGGGGCGCAUGUAUGUCACCAUGAUGUCUGGUUGUCCUCAGUCCUUCUUUGCAAUUAGAUAUCAAGCAAUAUACAUGAAUGACUAUUUCCAUUCCCACAUACCAACCACACAUGGUAAUGGAAUGCAAGUGAUCAUGUUUACUGCUC